rnacentral:rRNA from 1 species
UGCGGAAUUUUAGAUAAUGGAGGGAACUCUGAUCUAGCGACGCCGCGUGCAGGAAGAAGGUCUUCGGAUUGUAAACUGCUGUGGUAAGGGAAAAAUGCUAUGUAGAGUGGAAAGCUACAUAGAGGGAUGGUACCUUACUAGAAAGCCCCGGCUAACUACGUGCCAGCAGCCGCGGUAAUACGUAGGGGGCGAGCGUUACCCGGAAUCACUGGGCGUAAAGGGAGCGUAGGUGGCCUAACAUGUCAACUGUGAAAACCCAGAGCUCAACUCCGGACUUGCAGUUGAAACUGGUAGGCUUGAGGACGGUAGAGGAAGACGGAACUGCCAGUGUAGGGGUAAAAUCCUUAGAUAUUGGCAGGAACGCCGGUGACGAAGGUGGUUUUCUGGGCCGAUUCUGAAACUGAUGCUCGAAAGCCAGGGGAGCGAACGG